GUCGGCCCAGCCGCCGCCCAAGGCGGUGCCCAGGGUGCCCAAGGGCAGCAACCUGGUGGUGAUCAAGCCGCAGUUGGGGAGGCGCAACAGCCAGUUCACCUGCACCGACACCAAGAAGAAGCGCCCCGGCUGCCAGGCCACCUGCCCCAACCGCUGCCCCAAGGAGUGCCUCGUCAUGUGCCCGUCCUGCAUGACCUUCUGCCGUACGUGCUUCAUCACAUCACCCUCGCUUCAAUCCUCCUUCAUGUUUAAUUAAGGUGCGACGACUAAGUCUCAGUCGAACCAACACUUAACCAAGAAUCCGGUACGUUGGAAGAUCUAUAUCGGCAAAUUUAAGUCAAUCCGGUACGUCAGAUCUAUAUCGAAUGGCUGAUAGAGUGGACUAAGUUACAGUAAGGCUUGGCUUCAUCGAGUCACUGAAGCUGCGUCCAACUAGGUUUCACUCGAACCAGACUUAACCAAGAAAUGACAUAGUGUUUGAAAAAUGAAUUAUUAUCUUUUACACUCAACCUUGAAGUAAGAUCUCAUGAAUAUAGCAUCGGCCGAGACAUAAUUAAGUUUGAGUUGGCUGAGAUUUUAUCUAGGAGUAUAUAUGUAAGAUCUUCUUGCAUGGUGUACAUUUUGCAGUGUGUGACUUCUACCCAGGAGCGUCGUGCGGCGACCCGCGCUUCACCGGCGGCGACGGCAACAACUUCUACUUCCACGGCAAGAAGGGCGAGGACUUCUGCAUCCUCUCCGAC
rnacentral:lncRNA from 1 species